rnacentral:ncRNA from 2 species
CUCUUAUUCAGAGUGAUGGAGAUACAUAGGAUCAAUGAAGUCACGGCAACCCCACAACAUAAGGAAGGUGCCAACCUGAGCGAGCAAGUCGAACAAUAAGAG